rnacentral:lncRNA from 1 species
GCAAUUCUUUCUUUCUUCCUCUCUAAAUUCUCUCUGAUUCCUUCUUCUUUUUCCUCUGUGAUCUCUCUGUUUCUCCUUCUGCAUAUUGCUUAACAUGGUAUCAUCGCCUCACAUAGACCUGGCGCUUCCGCACCUCAAUCAAAGCAUUUCUUUCUCUUCUUUACCCUCUAGUUUGCAAUCUGUUGUGUGAUAAACAAAACAAUUGGCUUCUUCCGAUCUCCAUGAAUCUUCAAGAAAUUGUUCUUCGUUUCUGCAUACCAACUGUUCGAUAGAUUGUCUCAGUGAAAGAAUUCUAUACAACAUCAACAAUGGUGACUACUGAUCAGUUAAAGAUCGUUCAAUCUCCGAUCACUGGAAGAUAUUGACCAGAAGAUAUUGGGUAUGUCUUCUCUGUUUUUCUGGGCAUCUCCGAUUGCCCAUUUCUGCAUUCUACAUUCAACAAAGUUGUGCACACAAGGUGUUUGCUCUUUGUUCUCAAAGAAAACUAUCAACUAGUUUGAUUUGUCAGCAACAAAUUUGGGGUUUCUCUUCUAAAUCUCUAUCUGGGUUGUUCAUUUCUACAACAAAAGUUAUGGUUACCGCUGCACAAUUGCAACUUUUGCACUCCCCAAUUGUAUCGUUGAUUCCGUCAGUUUCUUCCUCUACUUGUGUAAAAUUAGAUGAGACUAACUACUUGCAGUGGCAUUUUCUGAUGAAGAUGAUGCUACAAGGUCAUGGCAUUAUGGGAUUCAUUGAUGGAUCGAAUCCUUGUCCUCCUCAGGAUGUGGCAACAUCUACACAUUCUGUAAUCACAUCUGAAU